UUAUUCGAGAGUUUGAUCCUGGCUCAGGAUGAACGCUGGCGGCGUGCCUAACACAUGCAAGUCGAGCGGAGGGAUUGAGAGCACUUGUGCUUUUGAGAACUUAGCGGCGGACGGGUGAGUAACACGUGAGCAAUCUGCCUUUUGCCGGGGAAUAACACUGGGAAACCAGUGCUAAUACCGCAUAACAUCCAAGAACGGCAUCGUACUUGGAUCAAAGGAGAAAUCCAGCAAAAGAUGAGCUCGCGCCCGAUUAGGUAGUUGGUGAGGUAAUGGCUCACCAAGCCCACGAUCGGUAGCCGGACUGAGAGGUUGAACGGCCACAUUGGGACUGAGACACGGCCCAGACU
rnacentral:rRNA from 1 species